rnacentral:lncRNA from 1 species
GUUCUAUUAGUACUGAUAUCAGAAUAUAUUCAGAGAAUCAGAUAAAGAUUGAUCUUCCACCAGGAAGGUAAUGGGCCCUAGUUGCUAGAUCAUCUGAUGAUGCUAAUUCAUGACUCAGAGAAGAUGAACAAUGGUUUUGGAGUUAUCAAUAAAAAAGGAUUUCGGAAUGAAGAAACUUACUCUGCAGAAGUGCUGUCGCCUGCAUUCUGAUGGUACCUCCAGCUGCGGUGCUAUGUGCAGUUCAUAUCCUCAGAAUCUCUGCCCAUCAAAAACCUUGGCUUGAGUUUUAAAAUGCUGAUCAUAAUAACAAAGACCAGGAGAGCUACUUUUUAGUUACAAGAAUUUAGAGCUGAAUAGUUCUAAUUUUUUUUGGUACUGUUAUUCAGAUGAA